GAUGAAGAACGUAGCGAAAUGUGAUACUUGGUGUGAAUUGCAGAAUCCCGUGAACCAUCGAGUCUUUGAACGCAAGUUGCGCCCGAAGCCACUAGGCCGAGGGCACGCCUGCCUGGGCGUCACUCGCCGUUGCCCCCCCAUCUACUCCUUCGGGAUUGCGGGGGGGCGGAUGAUGGCCUCCCGUGCGCCUAGCCGCGCGGUUGGCAUAAAUACCAAGUCCUCGGCGACGCACGCCACGACAAUCGGUGGUUGCGAAACCUCGGUUGCCCGUCGUGUGCGUUCGUCGCGCAUCGAGGGCUCGAAAAAAUGCUCGGCUCCGGCUGGGCUUUCAACGCGACCCCAGGUCAGGCGGGGUUACCCGCUGAAUUUAAGCAUAUCAAUAAGCGGAGGA
rnacentral:misc_RNA from 1 species